CUCUUUACUCUAUUAGUUUGACGAUCAGUUUCCUCGUGAAAGGUCGCCUUCCUCCCUUGCUGCUAUAACUCAGAGAAAAAAGAAGGAAAUAACAUGAAUACUUGACUAUAGUAUCUGUAAAUCUAUUGAGGAACCGACCGUUUUUCGUUUCCUGUACCAUACACUUGAUUUCCUUAGGGAAAUAUCUAAUAAUGACAGGUAAUUUUAGUACGAUAGCAGACCAAGUAUCCGUGACACUUGAUCGAAAUAUAAGCAAUACAAACUUUGGAGAUGAAGUCUCUAGUUGGUCUUUCCUCAUUCUCAUCAUUGGAUUCCUUCUAUUUUUUUCAAUAUUAACUGGUAUGCUCAAGUAUUAUAUGAAUAAAGAUGAUAUAAGUUCGAUGGAAGGGGGUGAAUCAUAUUCCCAUGAUGGAUAUACACAACGAAUAUCCUAUGAAAGUGCAUGGAAAGAUCGGGAACUUCUCAAUCUUCAAAGAGGAAGGAUUUGAGAGAUUUUUGUUAUUUGAUCCCCAUCUAAUUGCAUCAUUAUAUAUUUCUGGGUCCAAUCCAUAUGAUAUUGUUUAAACAAGACGUAUAAUCGUCAAGUAA
rnacentral:lncRNA from 1 species